AAUGAACGCUGGCGGCGUGCCUAACACAUGCAAGUCGAACGAGAACGGGUCUAGCUUGCUAGAUUGUCAGCUAAGUGGCGAACGGGUGAGUAAUGUAUAGUUAACGUGCCUCAUAGACUGGGAUAACAGUUGGAAACGACUGCUAAUACUAGAUACUCCCUACGGGGGAAAGCUUUUGUGCUAUGAGAUCGGACUAUAUUGUAUCAGCUAGUUGGUGGGGUAAGAGCCUACCAAGGCAAUGACACAUAGCUGGUUUGAGAGAAUGAUCAGCCACACUGGAACUGAGACACGGUCCAGACUCCUACGGGAGGCAGCAGUGGGGAAUAUUGCACAAUGGAGGGAACUCUGAUGCAGCAACGCCGCGUGGAGGAUGACGCAUUUCGGUGUGUAAACUCCUUUUAACAGAGAAGAUAAUGACGGUAUCUGUUGAAUAAGCGCCGGCUAACUCCGUGCCAGCAGCCGCGGUAAUACGGGGGGCGCAAGCGUUAUUCGGAAUCACUGGGCGUAAAGAGUGCGUAGGCGUCCUAAUAAGUCAUCUGUGAAAGCCUGCGGCUUAACCGCAGAACUGCAGGUGAAACUGUUAGGAUAGAGUAUGGAAGAGGUAAGUGGAAUUUCUAGUGUAGGGGUAAAGUCCGUAGAUAUUAGAAGGAAUACCAAUGGCGAAGGCAACUUACUGGGACAUUACUGACGCUGAGGCACGAAAGCGUGGGGAGCAAACAGGAUUAGAUACCCUGGUAGUCCACGCCCUAAACGAUGAACACUAGUUGUCGGGGAGCUUGACUCUUCGGUAAUGCAGCUAACGCAAUAAGUGUUCCGCCUGGGGAGUACGGUCGCAAGAUUAAAACUCAAAGGAAUAGACGGGGACCCGCACAAGUGGUGGAGCAUGUGGUUUAAUUCGAAGAUACGCGAAGAACCUUACCUGGACUUGACAUCCUGAGAAUCCUUUAGAGAUAGAGGAGUGUCUGCUUGCAGAAAUUCAGUGACAGGUGCUGCACGGCUGUCGUCAGCUCGUGUCGUGAGAUGUUGGGUUAAGUCCCGCAACGAGCGCAACCCUUAUCUUUAGUUGCCAGCACUUCGGGUGGGAACUCUAAAGAGACUGCCGGUGACAAACCGGAGG
rnacentral:rRNA from 1 species